rnacentral:rRNA from 1 species
UGGUGGAGUGAUUUGUCUGGUUAAUUCCGUUAACGAACGAGACCUUAACCUACUAAAUAGUUACGCGAACAUUUGUUCGUGGCCAACUUCUUAGAGGGACUAUUCGUGUCUAGCGAAUGGAAGUUUGAGGCAAUAACA